rnacentral:lncRNA from 1 species
AAAGGAUAUAGUAAGGCUCACGGGAAGGAGGUUAGCCUACCAAAGAACCCCGAAUAUAUUCAACAGCCUGAGGAAUGAAAAAGAUAGGAGUGAGGAUUUGGAAAAAUCUGGUAUCUACAGAAUACUCUUCAAGUACCAAGAUACCCAUCAAGCAGCAGCAUAUGUAGAUAUGAUGACAAGGACUCUGUGUCAAAGGCUCAAGGAACAUGAGAGAGAUGUAGAAAAGGCCAAUUUGAACAAUGUUUGCAAUGUUAGCAAUGGAGGUCUGUAAUGUGAAUAUAUGGGCAGAUUGGCACAACAGUAGAAUUAUAAAGCCCAUUAUAAAUGAAUUGCAAGCCUUCCUGGCUGAAAUGAUCGAGAUAACUAGGAGGUGGGAAAUGGAAAACCUUGUCAAUGACAGGCCAGCACUCAACCUACUACCAACAUGGGAGUACAUCCUAAGAAAGACAAGCUGAUGAAGAUACAACAAGUUGCUCCAUAAUAAGUCUGCAAUAUACUGGCAUUAGUAUUUUGGAUAUAGCGAAAUCCUGAACUACCACAACUUGACCCCUAUAGACUUGUGUUUAUUUUGUGGUUUUAUUCGUAUUUUAAC